rnacentral:rRNA from 1 species
GUGUCAGCAGCCGCGGUAAUACAGAGGGGGCAAGCGUUAUUCGGAAUUAUUGGGCGUAAAGGGCGCGUAGGCGGCUUGACAAGUGACGGGUGAAAUCCCUCGGCUUAACCGAGGAACUGCCCGUCAGACUGUCUUGCUUGAGACCGGGAGAGGUGAGUGGAAUUCCCAGUGUAGCGGUGAAAUGCGUAGAUAUUGGGAGGAACACCAGUGGCGAAGGCGGCUCACUGGACCGGAACUGACGCUGAGGCGCGAAAGCGUGGGGAGCAAACAGGAUUAGAAACCCGUGUAGUCC